AAAGUCUAAGAAUUAAGGGGAAAAAACAGUUUCCUGGUUAUGCAACAGUACAGCCUGGAAUUGAUGUGUUAACUCCAUUGGCUGAAAACACAUGGGCGUAUUUUACACCUUGAUUUUAGCUUGCAUGUUCAUUGUCCUUAGACAUUUGCACUCGAGUAUACAUGUAACUGAGCAGUUAAGCACAUUUCACACAUAACACAUCUUAAUGACAUUCCCAACCAUUAAAAGCAGUCUGAAUACGAAGCAAAAAGAGGUUUAUCGCACUUGUAUCAAAAAACACGCCCUAGCUGAGGCAGUAAAUGUAUAUCACAACUGACCAGAUAAACACAUUUCUCACAUCUUGGCAGUAAAUGUAUAUCACAACUGACCAGAUAAACACAUUUCUCACAUCUUGGUGAGAUUCCUAACCAUUAAAAGCUGUCUGAAUACGAAGCAAAAAGAGGUUUAUCGCACUUGUAUCAAAAACACACCCUUAGCUGAGGCAGUAAAUGUAUAUCACAACUGACCAGAUAAACACAUUUCUCACAUCUUGGUGAGAUUCCUAACCAUUAAAAGCUGUCUGAAUACGAAGCAAAAAGAGGUUUAUCACACUUGUAUAAAAAU